rnacentral:misc_RNA from 1 species
UCAACCAUCAAGCCUGGCUUGUCGUUGGACCUGUGGUCAUCACGACCGGUCCGAAAGAUAAUGGACGGCGGUGAUUAGCCCCCGAUGCAACGAGCUUUUAAUAGCACGCAUUGAAGGGGUUGGUCACCCCGGCCUCACACUCCAUUUUCUCA